GGGCCCGCACAAGCGGUGGAGUAUGUGGUUUAAUUCGAUGCAACGCGAAGAACCUUACCAGGGUUUGACAUCCUGCGAAUCUCUUGGAAACGAGAGAGUGCCUUCGGGAGCGCAGUGACAGGUGGUGCAUGGCUGUCGUCAGCUCGUGUCGUGAGAUGUUGGGUUAAGUCCCGCAACGAGCGCAACCCACGUCUUUAGUUGCCAGCAUUCAGUUGGGCACUCUAGAGAGACCGCCGGUGCUAAGCCGGAGGAAGGCGGGGAUGACGUCAAGUCCUCAUGGCCCUUACACGCGGGGCUACACACGUGCUACAAUGGCAGUGACAAUGGGAUAAUCCCAAAAAGCUGUCUCAGUUCAGAUUGUCCUCUGCAACUCGAGGGCAUGAAGUUGGAAUCGCUAGUAAUCG
rnacentral:rRNA from 1 species